rnacentral:rRNA from 1 species
UGGGGAAUCUUGGACAAUGGGGGCAACCCUGAUCCAGCCAUGCCGCGUGAGUGAUGAAGGCCUUAGGGUCGUAAAGCUCUUUCGCCUGUGAAGAUAAUGACGGUAGCAGGUAAAGAAACCCCGGCUAACUCCGUGCCAGCAGCCGCGGUAAUACGGAGGGGGUUAGCGUUGUUCGGAAUUACUGGGCGUAAAGCGCGCGUAGGCGGAUUAGUAAGUCAGAGGUGAAAUCCCGGGGCUCAACCCCGGAACUGCCUUUGAUACUGCUAGUCUUGAGUUCGAGAGAGGUAAGUGGAAUUCCGAGUGUAGAGGUGAAAUUCGUAGAUAUUCGGAGGAACACCAGUGGCGAAGGCGGCUUACUGGCUCGAUACUGACGCUGAGGUGCGAAAGUGUGGGGAGCAAACAGGAUUAGAUACCCUGGUAGUCCACACCGUAAACGAUGAAUGCCAGUCGUCGGGUAGCAUGCUAUUCGGUGACACACCUAACGGAUUAAGCAUUCCGCCUGGGGAGUACGGUCGCAGA